UUUCCGUAGUGAACCUGCGGAAGGAUCAUUAAUAAAUGGUCUACGUUUUUUAAGUAGACGCUUAAUAAUCUACCCUUGUGAAUUUGUUGUUUUGAAAUAAUUUUUUUUUAAAAUUAUUGAUUGUCUCUCCCUGUUGAAUUGGUUGUCUUAAUGGCAAAUGAUUCGCAGGGGAGUGUCAGUAAUUUUUAAAAAGACCUUUUUUAAAAUUAAACUUUUGUACUCAUUUGUCUAAAAUUAUUUUAUAAUAUAAAACAACUUUGACAAUGGAUCUCUUGGUUCUCGCAACGAUGAAGAACGCAGCAAAUGCGAUAAGUAGUGUGAAUUGCAGAAUACGUGAAUCAUCGAAUCUUCGAACGCAUAUUGCACUUUUUAGUUUACUAAAGAAGUAUGUCUGUUGAUAUCAGUAAAUAUUCUCAUAGAAACUUUUUGUUUUAUGGUUAUGAUGUUUACAACGAUACAAGUUGUUUCACUUUAAAUUUUUUUAAAUUUGAAUUUUCUAAUUUUAAAAUAAAAUUGGAUAAAUUUCCCGUAAAAAAGAAUAACCUAAACAAUUUUAAUUUUGAUAGAAUUCUUCAAUAUAAAGAAAUUUAACUAAUAACUUGAUCUCAAAUCAGAUAAGAGUACCCGCUGAACUUAAGCAUAUCAAUAAGCGGAGGAAAAGAAACUAACAGGAUUCCUUAGUAACGGCGAGUGAAGCGGAAGAGCUCAAUUUGAAAUCUUCAAGUUUACCUUGACGAAUUGUAGUUUAAAGAAGUGUUUUCUGUUGAGUUUUGGUAAAGUUCUUUGGAAUAGACAUCAUAGAGGGUGAGAAUCCGUAUUUGACCAUUAUUUCAGCUGUGUGAUACACUUUCAAAGAGUCGAUUGUUUGGGAAUGCAGUCCAAAAUGGUGGUAAAUUUCAUCUAAACUAAAUAUUGGCGAGAGACCGAUAGCGAACAAGUACGUGAGGGAAAGAUGAAAAGAACUUUGAAAAGAGAGUUAACAGUACGUGAAAUUGUCAAAAGGAAGCGUUGACACCAGUGUCGUUUUCUCGAAAAUCAAUUAAAAAAGUUGGAUUUGUGUUGUAUUGACCUUAACAGCUUGCUUCACUCUUUCUGCUUUUUUUAAUGCACUUUCGUUUAACAAGUCAACAUCAGUUUCUUUGUUGUAAAAGGUCAUUGGAAGGUGGCUUUCUCUUCGGAGAAAGUGUUAUAGCCUUUGAUCUCUGCGAUCGGAGAGA
rnacentral:misc_RNA from 1 species